CAGGUGGAGGACACACUGGAUGAGCUAAAUGAGGAAUUUUUCCAGCUCACUGCUCAGGCACUUGGAUUCCAAGAAGACAGUGAAGCUGGCCGGCCAGCCCCGCGUGAAGGCCAGGCAGUGGUGGUGGCCUCCAGUGCCUUCCCGUGGGUGCUGCAGAGAGAGAGACCUGACCCCACCCAGGCCCCCUGUCCAGCUGCAGAGGCCCCAGAUACCCCAUAUCCCAGGGAUGACUGGGCCCUGGAGCUGCAGGUCAAGAGAGUCCAUCUGCAUCAGAGGAUCGAGGACCUGGAAUGGGAGCUGUUCCUAUUGCUCCAGGUGGCAGGUGGCUGCCGGGUAUUGGGGACCACCCCCAGCCUGGGGGACAACAAGUCCUGAGAGGACAGCACGGCACUCUGACCUUUUCCCCUGGAGGGGAGGAGGGAGCCCCUGGAGGGCCCUGCAGGGUGUGUGGGCUGAGGUCCACCUGCCCUGUGACGACCGUUGGAUUCUUGCAGAACUGUGCCUUCCAUGGGAAUCCACUUCUUUCCAAGAGCUCUUGGGUGGCAGGAAUAAAGUCACAGAGAUAGAGAAAGCCCACAU